rnacentral:misc_RNA from 1 species
GAUGAAGAACGCAGCGAAAUGCGAUACGUAAUGUGAAUUGCAGAAUUCAGUGAAUCAUCGAAUCUUUGAACGCACAUUGCGCCCGCCAGUAUUCUGGCGGGCAUGCGUGUUCGAGCGUCAUUUCAACCAUCAAGCCCCCCGGCUUGUGUUGGGGACCUGCGGCUGCCGCAGGCCCUGAAAAGCAGUGGCGGGCUCGCUGUCACACCGAGCGUAGUAGAUCUCAUCUCGCUCAGGGCGUGCUGCGGGUUCCGGCCGUUAAACCACCUUCAUAACCCAAGGUUGACCUCGGAUCAGGUAGGAAGACCCGCUGAACUUAAGCAUAUCAAUAAGCGGAGGA